rnacentral:rRNA from 1 species
CAAACCGGGAGAUAGCUGGUUCUCCUCGAAAUCUAUUUAGGUAGAGCGUCUCGUGAAUACCCAUGGGGGUAGAGCACUGGAUGGGCUAGGGGGUCCCAACGACUUACCAAACCUAACCAAACUCCGAAUACCAUGGAGUACUGCGAGGCAGACACACUGCGGGUGCUAAGGUCCGUAGUGAAGAGGGAAACAGCCCUGACCGCCAGCUAAGGUCCCUAAGUUAUCACUAAGUGGGAAACGAUGUGGGAGUGCUUAGACAACCAGGAGGUUGGCUUAGAAGCAGCCACCCUUUAAAGAAAGCGUAAUAGCUCACUAGUCGAGUCGGCCUGCGCGGAAGAUGUAACGGGGCUAAACGUAGAACCGAAGCUGCGGAUGCACUAUGUGCAUGGUAGAGGAGCGUUCUGUACGCCUGCGAAGGUGAGUCGAGAGGCUUGCUGGAGGUAUCAGAAGUGCGAAUGCUGACAUGAGUAACGACAAAGGGGGUGAAAAACCCCCUCGCCGGAAGACCAAGGUUUCCUGCCCCAUGCUAAUCAGGGCAGGGUUAGUCGGCCCCUAAGGUGAGGCUGAAAAGCGUAAUCGAUGGGAAACGGGUUAAUAUUC